rnacentral:lncRNA from 1 species
GCUGCCUAAGUGUGAGUUGUAGAUCAUCACACAAACCUUGACUUCUGUUUCUCCCCCAGAAAAGAAGAUCAUCAGAUUCCUAGAGGAGCUGAGUGGCUGAAAGCUAAACAGGACUGGCUACUGUGGUGCACCAUCCAGCUCCCAUCCCAGAACAGAAGGACUUGCUCUCCCAGCUGCUAGGAAUGAUACCUGUCAAUAGCGUUCCAUUCUUUGCCUUCUCUUAUCAACUCAUUACAAUAACACCCCUUCCCUGGGGCAGCCUGUAUUUUUACCCUGUAUUUUUUAUGGAUUUGAAGAGGAUCUAGAAGUUUGACAUUUGUUUAAAUUCUGAAAAACUACCCCAGUUUCUAACUUCAGGGUCCCUUAUUAGGGAUGCACCCGUCUCUGCAAUUCUCUGGAAGUCUCCCUUUUCAAAAUCGGCUUUCUUCCCUUCCCAUUCCAAUAAGAGAUUUUAAGGGUACAACAUAAGUUUUCAAGCAGCUCAGAGUUUGCUUCAGGGAACCGACCUGUGACAGUUGUAUAUUCCUUCUCUACUACUCUGCUUG